UGACAAAGCUCUCGAUGCUCAUGUUGUUGCUAGAAAAAUCGGCCUUGAAUUGAAAGUUUGAAACGAGGCGCAGACACACGACUGCACGAGCAGAACACACCGCACCGCACCGCACCCACUCUGACAUUCUCAUCGGCGGAAAUCUGAGUUGAAGGCGUAACAUCAAAAAUGUUCAAAAAAGCCGUUGAAGCGAAGUCUUUACAGAGGUUAUCAGGCGCUGAUAAGAAGAAGCUCAGAAGAAGCGUCAAAGAAAAGUUUCCCCGAGCUUCUGAUGUUGAUGUUGACACCCUUCUCCCUCCCAAGGGGGAUAUCACUGUUGCAAAAUUUCAAAAUCGAGUCCUUGUGUAUGGUGUCGAAGGUGGCUUCCCUAUGUUCUUUGAUACUGAUGGAAGAGGUUCAGAUAUAUACCCGACAGUUUAUGCUCUCUGGAUGGUCCCUGAUCUUCUGCCUGCUUUCAUGCUAAAGGGCGGAGAGGUCUCUCGAUUUAUAAUUGGAGGGGCAGAUUUGAUGUUCCCCGGUAUCACUAUACCACCGGAAGGCUUUCCGUCAUUUUCUGCUGGGGAGCCGUGGGCAGUUAAGGUUCCUGGCAAUCCUGCUCCCAUUGCGGUUGGUGCAACGACCAUGAAUAGCUCUGAAGCACUAAAAGCUGGCCUACGUGGAAAGGCUUUGAGAAUAACUCACUACUAUCAUGAUUCGUUAUGGGAAUCGGUUGAAGGUCGUUUUGUGCCAAAUGCUGGUUUUUUUGAAGAUGUGGUCUUCCCUGAUCCUUCUUCCUCAUCUUCCAUGGCUUCCAGUCUAUGCGAAGGCGAUGCUUCUGCUGAUCGGAGAAGUGACAACGAAGAAGCAGUUGAGCUAGAUGCUGCGAAUAUUGUUUGCUCAGAAGGUGAUCCUGCUUCCUCAUCUCAGUUGGAUGAUAAAAAUGUUGUUUCUGAACAAGUUGCCUUGGAGUUGAGUGGUCUGGAAGUAGCGGAGAAUGAUGAAAUGCAUAGCGAGAACCAGCACUCAUUGUCAACAGAAGAUGUGGAUGUUCUACUGGACAGGUGUCUUCUGCAAGCUCUGCAUACAACAGUGAAGGAUAAGGAUCUUCCAAUGGCAGGAAGUACUUUAUGGUCAAAUCAUAUUUUGCCGUGUAGACCAUCUGGCAUUACUCUUGAUAUCAAAAAGUCAUCUUUCAAGAAGUUAUCAAAAUGGUUGCAAUUCAAAGCGUCUUCUGGAGUGAUUUCAGUAAAAGAGGACAAACAUAAAAAGGAAGUGGUACUGCUUUCUGUUAAUCGGAGCCAUGUAGAUUACAAAUCCUUCAAGCCUGAUAAAAGACAACCUGAUAAGAUUGAGCAAAGCAGUGAUCAAGCUGCUAUUGAGACUCCAUCACAGAAAUUAUUGGAAAUAGAAGAGGUCUAUAAAUCAAGUAUUCACGUGAACCCUAUAUUGGCUGCUGUUGGAGCUGAUACUGGAGGAUAUUUUAGUGCAUCAGAGGUCACAAAUGUUGCUUUUGCAUAUGUUGAGAAAGAGAAUCUUGUAAAGCCUACCGACAGAGCAAUGGUGAUAUUAGAUACUAUGCUGUGUGAUGCUUUAUUCAAAGGAGCUAUAAAAAAAGGAUCAGCUUAUCCAACUGAAAUUCAUAAGAAGGAUUUAGGUGCGCUGUUUCUGAAUCGAAUGCAAGCUCACCACAAAGUGACUAGAGGAUCUGACUCCGUGAUCAGGAAAGGCGCUGUUAAACCAAUUCACAUCAUGACAGAGAGACGACAAGGGAACAAGAAAGUGACAAAGCUCUCUGGUUUUGAAAUAUUUUUGAUGGAUGCUGAAUCAUUGGCAUCAGAGCUGCAAAAAAAGUUUGCAUGCAGUACCACAGUGGCUGAAUUACCUGGUAAGAAAGGACAUGAAGUUCUGAUUCAGGGUGGCGUCAUCGAUCAUCUUGCAAAACAUUUAAUUGAUCAGUAUGGCGUCCCAAAAAGAUACAUUGAAGUGCUGGAUAAAACCAGGAAGUGAUUGAGGUUGGGGAAGAAGCUGCCUUUAUUCUUCAAUAAUUUGAAGGAUGCAGUGAUUAUACAUGGGAUAGUUGUGUACUCCAUAGUCUGUCAUCAUUUUACUUCCAUCAGCUUGGAUGAUAGCACAGGAAAACAUUGUUCAGAUUUUUGACAAAUAUUAAGUGGACCUAGCAAUCUGCAAAUUAUUCUGUGCACCUUGGAUUAUAAUGAUAGGCGUGAUCCAGGGUGCAAACUACGGGAGGCAAUGAGACGAGAUAACUUGCGAGCUACUCGAGAUUGAUUCGGUCAAAACUUGGUCAAAGCUCGACUCGAGAUGUUGGUUAGUCGAGUUGAGCAACUUCAUACUCGACUCGGAAACUCGUGAGAAGGUCGACUCGAGAUGUUGGUAAGUCGAGUUGAGCAACUCGAUACUCGACCCAAUUAUCAAUAGCAAAAUACUGAAAUUCAAUAUUUUUUUAUCUUAUUGUUUCUUUUUAAAUGAGACACUUGUAAGCUACUUGAAAUUUACUCGGCCAAAUUUUGACUCGGUCAAUGCUCGGACAAAACUCGACUCGAAUGAGUUCGACUCAACUCGAACUCGACUUGCAUCAUUGCCACCCCCUAGUGCAAACUCAAAGAUAUUUCAAUGUAAAUGAAAAGAACAUUAAUGUGAGUCAAAGGUACAUUAAUAGAAAAAAAGUUUAACUAUAAAUGUACCUUUGAAAUAAAGCUAUUGUUCUUUUUGCUAAAUUCUUUUUAAUGUGUGUUUAGGGUAGAAACAAAAGUUUAUUUGUAAACGUACCUUUAAAAUAAGUUAUUGUACCUUUGAAAUACUAGCAAUCUAGCAAUAAAUUAGCCGGGUUUUACACAACCAUUAUUUUGAA